UGCAGUCGAACGGUAACAGGAAGCAGCUUGCUGCUUCGCUGACGAGUGGCGGACGGGUGAGUAAUGUCUGGGAAACUGCCUGAUGGAGGGGGAUAACUACUGGAAACGGUAGCUAAUACCGCAUAACGUCGCAAGACCAAAGAGGGGGACCUUCGGGCCUCUUGCCAUCAGAUGUGCCCAGAUGGGAUUAGCUAGUAGGUGGGGUAACGGCUCACCUAGGCGACGAUCCCUAGCUGGUCUGAGAGGAUGACCAGCCACACUGGAACUGAGACACGGUCCAGACUCCUACGGGAGGCAGCAGUGGGGAAUAUUGCACAAUGGGCGCAAGCCUGAUGCAGCCAUGCCGCGUGUAUGAAGAAGGCCUUCGGGUUGUAAAGUACUUUCAGCGGGGAGGAAGGCGAUGCGGUUAAUAACCGCGUCGAUUGACGUUACCCGCAGAAGAAGCACCGGCUAACUCCGUGCCAGCAGCCGCGGUAAUACGGAGGGUGCAAGCGUUAAUCGGAAUUACUGGGCGUAAAGCGCACGCAGGCGGUCUGUCAAGUCGGAUGUGAAAUCCCCGGGCUCAACCUGGGAACUGCAUCCGAAACUGGCAGGCUUGAGUCUCGUAGAGGGGGGUAGAAUUCCAGGUGUAGCGGUGAAAUGCGUAGAGAUCUGGAGGAAUACCGGUGGCGAAGGCGGCCCCCUGGACGAAGACUGACGCUCAGGUGCGAAAGCGUGGGGAGCAAACAGGAUUAGAUACCCUGGUAGUCCACGCCGUAAACGAUGUCGACUUGGAGGUUGUGCCCUUGAGGCGUGGCUUCCGGAGCUAACGCGUUAAGUCGACCGCCUGGGGAGUACGGCCGCAAGGUUAAAACUCAAAUGAAUUGACGGGGGCCCGCACAAGCGGUGGAGCAUGUGGUUUAAUUCGAUGCAACGCGAAGAACCUUACCUGGUCUUGACAUCCACAGAACUUUCCAGAGAUGGAUUGGUGCCUUCGGGAACUGUGAGACAGGUGCUGCAUGGCUGUCGUCAGCUCGUGUUGUGAAAUGUUGGGGUUAAGUCCCGCAACGAGCGCAACCCUUAUCCUUUGUUGCCNGCGGUUAGGCCNGGAACUCAAAGGGAGACUGCCCAGUGAUAAACUGGAAGAAAGGUGGGGGAUGAACUUCAAGUCAUCAUGGGCC
rnacentral:rRNA from 1 species